rnacentral:lncRNA from 1 species
ACAGCUGGGACUUUUGCGGGCUAUACUCGAUUGCCUUCUCAAAUCAAGAAGAAAAGGAGAGGGGCGCCUGGGUGGCGCAGUCGGUUAAGCGUCCGACUUCAGCCAGGUCACGAUCUCGCGGUCCGGGAGUUCGAGCCCCGCGUCGGGCUCUGGGCUGAUGGCUCGGAGCCUGGAGCCUGUUUCCGAUUCUGUGUCUCCCUCUCUCUCUGCCCCUCCCCCGUUCGUGCUCUGUCUCUCUCUGUCCCAAAAAUAAAUAAACGUUGAAAAAAAAAAAAUUUUAAAAAAGAAGAAAAGGAGAAUGUGCCAUAUCCACAUCCUGCCAUUCAACUUCACAGCAUCUAGAGCAUUUAAUAUAUGCUUUUUUUUUUCCCCCCCAGAGAUCCCUUCCCUUGAACUUGACCUCAGCUUGCGAGUCGGGUAUUAGUAUUCAGAGGAUUCGGACGAGGGAAACAAUUUCCUGCAGUCAUGCCGCUUAUGAGCAGCGGAGCUGAGGCUGGAGCCCGCAUCGGAGUCGAGAGAACACAAUAGAACCCAGCGUGCCCGGGAAUUGCAUCCUUGAGUCAUGCAGCAGCCCAGGAAACGACCAAUGCCCAGCCAUCUCUCUCUGUGUCCGGGGCCCGCCGCCAGGCGUCGUCCCCUGCACGUGCAUCCACACAGCGGCGCGAAGAGCCACGAGGAGAGGGGCGGAAGCAAGGCAGAGCCGCAAAGGGUUCUACUUCUGCCAGCGGAAUUUCCAGAACGGGGGUUUCCUCUCUGAAGACCAUCGCGCUUGUUCACAGGUACUGUUUGUUCUUGGGGGGAUGGCAGGAAGAAGGCGUGGGAGAAAAUAAGAACAUAAGACAUGGAAGUAUAAUCCAUUUGGAUUAAAAAACAAAAGUUCAUCUGUCAAGAGGAAAUGAACACAGGUUACCCUGGGAAGAAAACCGUUGGUGUAGAGAAGUCUCCCCUCCUGCCCAUUAAUAAUGCCUCUCUCUCUGAUAACCUGAAAAAUAACUUCGUUUGUAUUUACCAGGCUGCCAGGGUUUGAUCCUGAUUUCUUUGCUUUCCCGCGAGGUGACUUGGGGAAGGUUCUGGAUCUCUUCAGACGUUCGUUUCCUAAGCGGGGAACAUGGGGGAAUGCUAAGGGUUCUCCGGUGACAGGCUGGUCUGGUGAUUAAACGCAAAGGUGUAUGCCAAGUGUUGAGAGAGAGUUUGGCCCAUAGUAGGAGCUCAUAUGGUGGUUCUUGUUCCCCUCCAGUUGUCUUUCUCCUUUCUUUUUUUAAAAUAGGCUUCACACCCAGUGUGGGGCCUGACCUCAGGACCCUGAGAUCGAAACCUGAGCUCAGAUCAAGAGUCAGACACUUAACCGACUGAGCCACCCAGACGCCCCUCUUUCUCCUUUUUUAAACUUAUUUACAGACCGACUUGCAACUUGACCGUCACUCUUUCGCAAACCGUAGCCCUUCUUGAACUCAGUGCUACGAUAGUAAAUGGAAUCAUCUCGGG